GGAGUCUGAAUUCUCCGAACAUCUUCUGAAAAUAUUGUUACAUUGUCGAGUCAUCGUCAUUUUGUCGACUUUUUUUCAGAAGUUGCCCCUCUGUCCAGUCGUCCAGAGAUCAUGUUGAUCACCCCUGCAGUCGGUUGAUUAUUUACAGCUUCCUCAGUUUGCAGUUGAGGUCGUCGAUCAGCAGGAGGUUGAGUCGACGGAUCUCUCUGGUAUUUUUCAAGAUAGCCUCAUCGAAUCAGAGCUUCUAUCUCAUCCCUAAGUUGGAUGCAUUGUUCAGUAUCAUGACCGUGAUCACGAUGGAACCGACAAUACUUCCUCCGAUCGUGAUUUCUCGGCAACGCUUUCAUCGGUAGAGGGUGUCGUACAUAUUUCGCUCCUUUAAUCUCCAUAAGGAUCUGCGCACGAAGAGCGGAAAGAGGAGUAUAGGAGUAUACCUGCCGUAACCCAGCUUUAGACUCCAUCGUUAGGGCAAAGAUCACUUAUUGGAUGGUGGCCGACUUGAUUCGGCCGGAGCUUCUCUCUUUUUCUGUUUCUUCUUCUUCUGACUUUUAUCUUCUGUCUGGCACCGGUCAGAAGCUCCUUCGUCUGCAUGCAUAUAUUUGUAUGCACGCUCCAGAAGUUCGGCAUA
rnacentral:lncRNA from 1 species